rnacentral:rRNA from 1 species
AGAGUUUGAUCCUGGCUCAGAUUGAACGCUGGCGGCAUGCCUUACACAUGCAAGUCGAACGGCAGCACGAGAGCUUGCUCUUGGUGGCGAGUGGCGAACGGGUGAGUAAUAUAUCGGAACGUACCCUAGAGUGGGGGAUAACGUAGCGAAAGUUACGCUAAUACCGCAUACGAUCUACGGAUGAAAGUGGGGGAUCGCAAGACCUCAUGCUCAUGGAGCGGCCGAUAUCUGAUUAGCUAGUUGGUGGGGUAAAAGCUCACCAAGGCGACGAUCAGUAGCUGGUCUGAGAGGACGACCAGCCACACUGGAACUGAGACACGGUCCAGACUCCUACGGGAGGCAGCAGUGGGGAAUUUUGGACAAUGGGCGCAAGCCUGAUCCAGCAAUGCCGCGUGAGUGAAGAAGGCCUUCGGGUUGUAAAGCUCUUUUGUCAGGGAAGAAACGGUGGACUCUAAUACAGAUCACUAAUGACGGUACCUGAAGAAUAAGCACCGGCUAACUACGUGCCAGCAGCCGCGGUAAUACGUAGGGUGCAAGCGUUAAUCGGAAUUACUGGGCGUAAAGCGUGCGCAGGCGGUUGUGCAAGACAGAUGUGAAAUCCCCGGGCUCAACCUGGGAAUUGCAUUUGUGACUGCACGGCUAGAGUGUGUCAGAGGGGGGUAGAAUUCCACGUGUAGCAGUGAAAUGCGUAGAGAUGUGGAGGAAUACCGAUGGCGAAGGCAGCCCCCUGGGAUAACACUGACGCUCAUGCACGAAAGCGUGGGGAGCAAACAGGAUUAGAUACCCUGGUAGUCCACGCCCUAAACGAUGUCUACUAGUUGUCGGGUCUUAAUUGACUUGGUAACGCAGCUAACGCGUGAGGUAGACCGCCUGGGGAGUACGGUCGCAAGAUUAAAACUCAAAGGAAUUGACGGGGACCCGCACAAGCGGUGGAUGAUGUGGAUUAAUUCGAUGCAACGCGAAAAACCUUACCUACCCUUUACAUGUCUGGAAUCCUUGAGAGAUCAGGGAGUGCUCGAAAGAGAAUCAGAACACAGGUGCUGCAUGGCUGUCGUCAGCUCGUGUCGUGAGAUGUUGGGUUAAGUCCCGCAACGAGCGCAACCCUUGUCAUUAGUUGCUACGAAAGGGCACUCUAAUGAGACUGCCGGUGACAAACCGGAGGAAGGUGGGGAUGACGUCAAGUCCUCAUGGCCCUUAUGGGUAGGGCUUCACACGUCAUACAAUGGUACAUACAGAGGGCCGCCAACCCGCGAGGGGGAGCUAAUCCCAGAAAGUGUAUCGUAGUCCGGAUUGUAGUCUGCAACUCGACUACAUGAAGUUGGAAUCGCUAGUAAUCGCGGAUCAGCAUGUCGCGGUGAAUACGUUCCCGGGUCUUGUACACACCGCCCGUCACACCAUGGGAGCGGGUUUCACCAGAAGUGGGUAGCCUAACCGCAAGGAGGGCGCUCACCACGGUGGGAUUCGUGACUGGGGUGAAGUCGUAACAAGGUA